GCACAUCUGACGAGUCCCAAACAGGACGAGAGAGCUGUCCAGUGC
rnacentral:hammerhead_ribozyme from 1 species